AAAUACUACCUGAUGACCGAUAGAGGAGCAGUACCGUGAGGGAAAGGUGAAAAGAACCCCGGGAGGGGAGUGAAAUAGUACCUGAAACCGUAUGUCUACAAGCAGUCGAAGCGAAAGCGACGGCGUGCCUAUUGAAGAAUGAACCAACGAGUUAUCUGCACUAGCGAGGUUAAGUGGAAGACACGGAGCCGCAGCGAAAGCGAGUCUUAAGAGGGCGCUAGUUAGUGUAGGUAGACCCGAAACCGCAGUGAUCUACCCAUGUCCAGGUUGAAGCGCAGGUAAAAUUGCGUGGAGGACCGAACCGGUGAGCGUUGAAAAGCUUUCGGAUGAGAUGUGGGUAGGGGUGAAAUUCCAAUCGAACGCGGAGAUAGCUGGUUCUCCCCGAAAUAGCUUUAGGGCUAGCCUGAGGUAGUAAGUAUAGGCGGUAGAGCACUGAUCGGGCUAGGGGCCGUAAAGGUUACCGAACCCUGUCAAACUCCGAAUGGAUAUACUGUAGAGCCUUGGAGUCAGACUACGAGUGAUAAGAUCCGUGGUCAAAAGGGAAACAGCCCAGACCACCAGCUAAGGUCCCCAAUGUCGUACUAAGUGGAAAAGGAUGUGGGGUUGCAUAAACAACCAGGAUGUUGGCUCAGAAGCAGCCACCAUUUAAAGAGUGCGUAAUAGCUCACUGGUCGAGAGACCCUGCGCCGAAGAUUCCCGGGGCUAAAGUACGAAACCGAAGCUGUGGCUGUAUACGUAAAGUAUACGGGGUAGGGGAGCGUUCCCAUAGGGUAGAAGUCGAACUGGAAGGUUCGGUGGACUUGUGGGAAGUGAGAAUGUUGGUAUGAGUAGCGAAAAGAAAGGUGAGAAUCCUUUCCACCGAAAGCAUAAGGAUUCCUGAGCAACGAUCGUCGUCUCAGGGUAAGUCGGGACCUAAUCCGAGGCAGAGAGCGUAGGAGAUGGACAACUGGUUGAUAUUCCAGUACCGGUAGUAAUUGUUUGAGCAAUGGAGUGACACAGAAGGGCAGGCAAGCAUGCGAAUGGAAGAGCAUGUGUAAGCGUGUAGGGUGGUGCAUAGGCAAAUCCGUGCACUGAAAGCCUGAGGCGUGAUGCGGAGUGAGCAGAGAUGCGAGCGAAGUUGUUGACCCCACACUGUCGAGAAAAGCUUCUAGUGAGAGAGCUACCGCCCGUACCGUAAACCGACACAGGUAUGCGGGGAGAGAAUCCUAAGGUGCGCGGGAGAACCCUCGUUAAGGAACUCGGCAAAAUGUACCCGUAACUUCGGGAUAAGGGUAGCCACUGUUGUGAAGUCCCAUGCGGAUGGAGCAUAGAGUGGUCGCAGAGAAGAGGCCCAAGCGACUGUUUACCAUAAACACAGGUGCCUGCUAAAGCGAAAGCUGACGUAUAGGUGCUGACACCUGCCCAGUGCCGGAAGGUUAAGGAAGGAUGUUCGGAUUAGUCCAAAGCAUUCGACUGAAGCCCCGGUGAACGGCGGCCGUAACUAUAACGGUCCUAAGGUAGCGAAAUUCCUUGUCGGGUAA
rnacentral:rRNA from 1 species